rnacentral:rRNA from 1 species
GAUGAACGCUGGCGGCGUGCUUAACACAUGCAAGUCGAGCGAAGCACUUAAGUUUGAUUCUUCGGAUGAAGACUUUUGUGACUGAGCGGCGGACGGGUGAGUAACGCGUGGGUAACCUGCCUCAUACAGGGGGAUAACAGUUAGAAAUGACUGCUAAUACCGCAUAAGACCACAGGGUCGCAUGACCCGGUGGUAAAAACUCCGGUGGUAUGAGAUGGACCCGCGUCUGAUUAGCUAGUUGGUGGGGUAACGGCUCACCAAGGCGACGAUCAGUAGCCGACCUGAGAGGGUGACCGGCCACAUUGGGACUGAGACACGGCCCAAACUCCUACGGGAGGCAGCAGUGGGGAAUAUUGCACAAUGGGCGAAGGCCUGAUGCAGCGACGCCGCGUGAAGGAUGAAGUAUUUCGGUAUGUAAACUUCUAUCAGCAGGGAAGAAAAUGACGGUAC